AAAUUAUGGUUUGAGCACUUUUUAAGCAUCUCCAUGAAUCUUUCCCAACUCUCAAAAAUAGAUUCUCCUUCUAACUAAGUAAAAGAAGUAAUAUCAUUUCUAUGUUU